rnacentral:lncRNA from 1 species
AAAACACUGCCUUAGCUGCCUCCUUCAAAAUUAUAAAAACCCAGGUGCUAUUUUAGUACACACCCCCUGACUCUACUUCUAACACUCAUCUGGAGUUGGGUGAUAAAUGUCUAUUAAAACCACAAGGCUGUGAGUGAAUAUGCCUGCCUUGUGAUUUCCAACCCACCCAAGCAAAGGUGACAUCGGCAGACAGUGGUUGAUGGGAUGGUUGUUAGAAUUGAGCCAACUCCCUAACACACCCAGCAAUAACUCCCAGCUCUGGAGAAAAAUGCCUGUCAGACUUCCAGAUGGAGCUGAGCUUCAGCAACCACAGCAGAGACUGGGAGGAGGAGGGAGACGGUGAGAACUGAGUCUCAAAGGAUGGGGUUCAUCUGUGUCAGGACAGAUGCUAGCGUGUUCCAGCAGAAGCCAAGUUCUUGAAGAGAAAAGUGUGGGCAGAGGGAGACUGUAUGGAAGGGGAAUGUCCUCUCUCAUUGUAAGAAUAGAUCCACACAUAGAGUAAGCUUGCAUCUUGCUGGGUCUCCUCUGAGGAUCAAACAAUGAAAUAUUGCUUCAGUGGUCUUUGGAAUAAUCUGGACUUGCAGAUUUUGCUUCCAGUGUUUGUUACUCAAGGCAUCUUAUUCAGAUCUACCUCAAGCCUAUGUCCCCAAGUCACACUGCUCCUGAUACAGCUGAUGAAGGCCACCUUGGCAAAGUGGUAUGUGAGUAGCAAAAUCACACAGAUGAGUUAGCAUUGUUGGAACCAAUUCUAGUGGAGAACUCCAGAGAACUGCACAUGUGGUUUUAAAAAAGAUUAAUUGAUGAUUGAUUGAUUGAUUGAAGAGACAGAGAGCACAAGGGGGGGAGAAUGGCAGAGGGAGAGAAAGAAGCUGACUCUCCGCUGUGUGUGGAGCCCAUCUUGGGACUCAAUCCCAGAACUCUGGGAUCAUGACCUGAGCUGAAGGCAGACGCUUAACCAACUGAACCACCCAAGUGCCCCCUGCAUGCGCAUUUUUAGAGGGAGGCCACAUCUAGAUGCCCACCAUCCACCUACUCCCAUAAAAGAAGGAAGAGUUCACAAAGACCAAGUGAACACCAAAUGAGAUCGCUUGUUGCCUGGCAUUCAAAAUGGGGAAGAAAUCCUCAAGAUUAAAGCUAAGAAUGUUCAGCAAAGGCAUAAUAGUCUAAAAACCUCAGGGACGCAACAAAAUAUGUUGGCCCUCCAUUUGGAGGACUUGGAAAGAAACUCAAGAGGCC